AACAACGGCCAAGCGCUGGGCCUAGCGGAGCGGUUGCAGCCUGCGCAGGACGAGGGGGGUGUCUGUAGCUCCGGGGCUCGCCCGACCACCCCCGGAGCACGUGGGGACCGUUUGCCCCCCACUUCAGCGCGAAAAGCCCGCGCAACGGGCGCCCGAGGUGGGGUGAGACCGUAGGGUCCCGGGCUCCAGCCAGCCGAGUUGGCCACGGAGACGCUCUUAGAGUCUGGAUUUCGGGGAGGAGCGGACAGGUGGCAGAGCAGGGGCGUUACACCAGGCUACCCCGACUUUGACGGGAUCAGGCCAGAGGGCCAAGUCACAGGAAGAGGCAGGCCACUGCAAGGUGGAGCAGACAUCAGCAGGAGACACCCAGUGGAGAGAGACCUGUUAUACCAUGCCUGGCCACAAGGAAGUGCCAGUGGAGUGUAGAUGAUGGCAUCCUGUGACAAGCAAGGCCAGUUAACAAAUUCCUUGGAAGCAACUGCUAAGUGACACUGGCCAACUGCCAAGGAGUACUCAGAAUGAUAUGCAUAAUCACUAGGAUAUUCCUUAUCUGCAAUGGCUAACACAAUUUCAACAAAACUACCAAGAUUUCCCCUGGCAACUUAAAUCAGUGGUGAACUGCUCAAAGAGUUUGUAUGUGGCAGUAACCAAGAAGUGAACAAUGAAAAGGAAACGGACAAUAUUUUUACAGUGACUUCUACAGAAAAUUUUCUUAGUUUGCAAAUCAAAAGAUACAAACUGCCAGCACUGCAAAGGAAGCUGUUCUGCCUUUCAUGUUACAACCAGUAAAUAAAGAUACCGCAAGCAAAACUAAACUUAUAAUUUUGUUGUUAAUGUAUGAAGUAGAACAGAAUCUAGCUGACUCUCUCACCGCUGUGUGCUAAAAUAAAACAUGUCUGUAAUGUGAGUAGA